GAAUGAGGUUGAUAUUCCUCAAGCUGGAUGUGGUGGCAACGUGGCAACACAAACAAGCUCGGAAACACCGGUAUGUGCAACUGGAAGAGUUCUCUUUUCUUCUUAACAAUCUAUCUCCCUGAAUGGAUUAUCCAAAGCAAGGGAUAUAUGGUUGGCAGAGCAGUUCAUCAUAGAAUUGUCAGUGAUGCCCAUAACGGUCCUUGAAAAUCUGAGUAAGGUAUCCAAAACACACCAGAUCGUACCCAUAACCGCAUCAGGUCUCCAAGGUUAGCAGCCUCUGGUCGAUAGAAUAAUGCAGAUAAGGGAAUUCGGCAAAUUAGAUCCGUAACUUCGGGAAAAGGAUUGGCUCUGAGGAUUGGGUUAUAGUGGCUGCCAUUGAGAGGGGAACUAUGCAGGAGCUGCGUGAGUGGUUCUGAAUUGGUGAACCAGGAUUUGUCAGUUAGCUUACGCCAGCAACAAUCGACUCAGAACUGAA
rnacentral:rRNA from 1 species